ACUUAAAUUGAAGAGUUUGAUCAUGGCUCAGAUUGAACGCUGGCGGCAGGCCUAACACAUGCAAGUCGAGCGGUAGCACAGAGAGCUUGCUCUCGGGUGACGAGCGGCGGACGGGUGAGUAAUGUC
rnacentral:rRNA from 2 species